rnacentral:misc_RNA from 1 species
AGAGCCUCGGUCAACGAGCAGCUCCAAGGCCGUGUAGGGGUGGGGCGGCGGUAUUUGGAGCGCAGGGUAGCUGUGAGCGGUUCCAUACACCGCAUGGAGGUAUAGGCACAAACUUGGUGUAUUUGUGCAGGGUCAGCAUGGCUGCUGGAAGCUGGAGAAUACCUGUGGCCUGUGUGGCGGUGUACAUCUACACUGUGGUGGCCCAGUUUGACUGGCAGACACAAGACAACUUUGAUUUUAUUGAUCAAAAGUUCAAACGUGUGAGGGAAGACAACUGUGAGCUGCUACCAUUUGCUGAUCUGUUUCUGCCUGAAAGUACUGUGUCACAUAAGCCAGAUAUCAAAGACAUCAACGUCAACCCAGUGCUGCCAAACCGGACACACAUGCUGUACCUGCACAACCUUGUCCUAAGCCGGGGGUAUUUCUUCAGCUAUGUGAUCCAGAGCAGGUUCAAGCGGCCCUCCCACCAGGGGAUCGAACAGUCAGAGCUGGACCCUGGCAUGAUGUACUACUUCCUCUCCGUUGUCGCCGACAUCAGCUCCAGCCCCUACAUCAACGGCAGCGCCAUCUACUUCGCGCCCAACACCUCCUACUCACCCUCUUACCAGGCCAACUUCAACCAGACGUUCCCGCUGUUCGCUCCUCGAGCGUUCCGCGCUGACGACUACAACUACCCGUUUCACCUGGAGCGGAUAUCGACGCUGAACACGGUUGAGGUGUCCGACUUGGGCGCCUUUGAGAAGAUCCGGCAGAGCAAGAACUACACCAAGGAGGAGUACCGCAUAAACCGUUGGUACUACAAGUGGUUACCGGAUCAGCGGCAAACGCAGGCUUCCAAGACCACGUACCACAUCAAGAUCCGCUACGCCAACAACACCAACGAGACGUACACCUUCCACGGCCCGCCCGCCAAUGACGAGACGCCCGGCCCGGUCAACUGGACGCAGCCGUACUUCGACUGCGGCCGCUCCAACAAGUGGAUCAUGGGCGCAGCCGUACCGAUCGUCGACCUCUACCACAGGCACACGGGCUUCAGACACAUCGAGUACCCCACCUACACGGCGGUGGCCGUCAUUGAGAUGGAUUUCGAACGAAUGGACAUAAAUCAAUGUCCGCUGGGAGAGGGCAACAGCGGCCCAAACAUCUUUGCGGACACCGCGCGCUGCAAAAAGGACACAACGGAGUGUGAGCCGCUGGACGGGUACGGGUUCCGCCGCGGCGGCUACCAGUGCCGCUGUAAGCCCGGCCACCGACUGCCAAACGUGGUGCGGCGCCCCUACCUGGGCGAGGUGCUCGAGCGGGCCACCACCGAGCAGUACCAGAACGCGUUCCACUGCGAAAAAAUUGGCUGGAUUCAUAAAACCAUCCAGGGUAAAGCGAAGCUGGAUCAGUUUACCAGGUACCAGCAUCUGAACCGGCACUUCUUCAAAAACUACACUGUCAAGCCCAACGAUACCUUGGCUCAGCCACCUGCCGAAAACGUGAUGCCUCUGCUAGAGUUCUUAAAGGAGGUCAAAACCGGCGACUGCACCAAGUACCACCCGAAAGACCUGCAGCUGCGCGGCGACGUCAUGUACGGCGCCGAAAAGCAGAUGGAGAAUCAGGCCCGCCUGGCGCUCCGGCUGGCCAACUUUAUCUCGGCCUUCCUGCAGGUGUCGGACCCGGACGAGGUGUUCUCCGGGAACCGCGUGGCAGACCGCCCGCUGACCGAGGACCAGAUGAUGGGCGAGGUGAUCUCCAUGCUGAUGGGCGACACCUGGAUCUGGGGCGCCGGCAUCUUCUGGGACAGGAACAAGUUCUACAAUCGCACCCUGUUCGCGCCGUACGCCUUCAAGAAGGAGCUGAAUCCGCGCAACCUGAACAUGGAGGACCUGGCACGACUCAACAAGUCCGAGGAGGUGUACCUGAACAAGCCGAUCUUCCGUGAGGUGAAGGCCCGCUGGUCGACCAACUUUGACUCGCUGGAGAAGAUCUGGCUGAAGAUGCUGUUCCGUUCUCAUCCGCGCGGAGACAAUAUCUUCCUGCGCAAGUACACCAGAUACCCGGAUUACUUCUUGGCGGCCAAGCUAGAAGACGGCUACUGGUCGCCGCCCUACUACGACUGUCACGGCUUCCACCCCAUGUGGAUGAUCACCUACGCCGUGCCGUUCUUCGGCUGGGAUGACCUGAAGCACAGCGUCGAGUUCAAGGGAAUGGUGAGCGUGUCCAUGAGUGCCGAGAAACUGGACAUUAACCAGUGCGACCACGACUACUGGGUGGCUAACGCCUUCAAGGACACGCACAAGUGCGACAGGAGGUCGUCUUACUGCGUGCCGAUCCAGGGUCGCGGCUUCUGGACGGGCGGCUACAAGUGCGCCUGCAAGCAAGGCUACGAGUACCCGUUCGAGGACCCCAUCACGUACUUCGACGGACAGCUGGUGGAGGCCGAGUUCCUGAACCUGGUCCAGAACAAGGAAACGAGGUACGACUACUACAAGUGUCGGCUGGCGGGCGCCCAGCGUCCGCAUGUCAGCUGUCUGGCGGUGCUGGCGCUGCUGGCGGCCGGCCUCCUGCGUGGUCUCGCCGGCUGAGGCGCUCCGCUGGCCGCCGGCCCACGCCGACCUGACGCCGCCCCGCGCCUGACGCCCGGGGCAGCAGCGCUCGCCCCGUGCCUCGGUGCCACCCUGGCGUCGGUGGCCGCCCGAGCAGCAGCGACGGCGGUAGGCUGGCGCCCGGCCGAAGCCGUGGUGGUGCCGUGUGUGUGAAUAUGUCAGAAGAUGCUGCUGGAACCUCAGAGUGUGUGGAAUCUCAGAGCGGCUCUCAUGUAAUCUCAUAGCAACUGCGAUGUAAUCUCAAAGUGACAUUUGGCCGAUGGUUUCGUGCCAGACGUAGUUUAUUUUUAGGUUGGAUCCAGUGCAAAGUGCCUGAAACGUGUUAAGGUUAUGAAUAGCAUCGAAGUAAGGGUUUGUAGUCUUUUAGUUGAGUGGCACGCACAAGGUGGGCAUUUCAUGGAGAGCCCACCGUCUUCGAGUACGCACAGCUAAUCUUGUAGGCUUGUUUUGUAUUUUAAGCUAUCGGGUUCCGGUAAUCAUUCCCAGUGCGUCGUGCCGCUGCACAUGCGUUUGUAAUUUGUACUGGAGGAUUGGAGCCAUUGUGAUUCAUUUUUCGUCAUCCACCUGGAAUGCCUGUAAGUGGAUAUGAUUGCCAUGAGUGUCUGUCCGAGUCCGGUGCACAUGAUCAAGGACUGGUGUGAGAAAAUUGCGCCCGUUUUGACAACAUCGCCGAAGGCUGCGCUUCUGUUCCACUCUAUUUUCACGGAAUGCAUCGUCAGUGUAUGUUUAUACAUUUCGCUGUAGCGUUUGAUGUGUUUGUGUUGUAUCUGAUGGCAUUUUGUUCGCCAUCGCCUUGUGUUUAGUCGGGUCGUAUGGACCCGUGCUGGCCGUCCCAAAGUCGUCCGACCUGUUGGACCUGGCUGUGACCUAACCAUGGUCAGCCAGCUGUCCGCAGAUUACGGCGAGAGCUUCGUCUCUCACCCGUGUGGUUGUCGCCUGUUGAUGUCUGAAUGCACGUUAUCAAGGACAUGUGUGAGAAAAUGCGCCCGUUUUGACAACAUCACCGAAGGCUGCGCUUCCGUUCCACUUUAUUUUCACGGAAUGCAUCGUCAGUGUAUGUUUGUGCAUUUCGCUGUAGCACGUGAUGUGUUUGUGUUGUAUCUGAUGGCAUUUUGUUCGCCAUCGUCUUGUGUUUAGUCGGGUCGUAUGGACCCGUGCUGGCCGUCCCAGUCGUCCGACCUGUGGGACCUGGCUGUGACCUAACCAUGGUCAGCCAGCUGUCCGCAGAUUACGGCGAGAGCUUCGUCUCUCACCCGUGUGGUUGUCGCCUGUUGAUGUCUGCUUGCGUCCGUGUCGGAGUGUGAAUGGGAGCCCCGCCGUUUUGGUAUGUCGUGUCCGUCCGCUCUGUGCCUGCUGUGUGCCGGCCUCGCGCCGGCCCAGCGCUGCUCUCAUCUGUUGGCAUUGGGACACACUGUGCUCACAUACUGAGCACGGCAUGGCCACCAUCACCUGUCGUCCGUGUUAACGUGUGGCCCAGAGCGCCGUCCAUGUGCGUGAAUAAAGCUGGGUGUGUGGUGCGCCCCUAGAUACCGUCGAUGUGGGUGAAUCCAGCCAUGUGUGUGGUAUGCCCCUGGAUGCCGUCCAUAUGGGUGAAUCCAGCCAGGUGUGUGAUGCAGUUUUGUAUACUGUCGAUGUGAGUGAAUCCAGCCUAGUGUGGUGGGCCCCUGGACACCGUCCAUGUGAGUGAAUCCAGCCAUGUGUGUGGCGCGUCCCUGGAUACCGUUCACAUGAGUGAAUCCACCCUGGUGUGUGGUGCGGCUUUGGAUACCGUCGAUGUGAGUGGAUCCAGCCAGGUGUGUGGCACGUUCUUAGAUACCGUCCAGACGAGUGAAUCCAGCCUGGUGUGGUGCGCCCCGGGAUACCGUCCACAGGAAAUGAAUCCAGUCUGGUGUGUGGUGCGGCUUUGGAUACCGUUGACGUGAGUGAAUCCAGCCUGGUGUGUGAUGCGCCCCUGGAUACCGUCCACGUACGUAAAUAAAGCUGGGUGCAUGUUGCGGCCUUGGUUACCGCCCAUGUGAGUAAAUCCAGCCUGGUGUGUGGUGCGGCCGUGGUUACCGUCCAUUGGAGUGAAUCCCACGGGGGUGUGUUUUAGCCAUGGUUACCGUUGAUGCGAUUUAAUCCAGCCAGGUGUGUGAUGUGUUCCUGGAUACCGUCCACUGUAGUGAAUCCAGCCAGGCGUGUUGCGGCCCUGGAUACAUUCCAUGCGAGUAAGAGAAGCUAAUUUUGUUCAAGCACAUGUUUGUAACCGUUUCCAAAUAAACCACGAAAUGCC